GUUCAGGAUGAACGCUAGCUACAGGCUUAACACAUGCAAGUCGAGGGGCAUCAGGAAGAAAGCUUGCUUUCUUUGCUGGCGACCGGCGCACGGGUGAGUAACACGUAUCCAACCUGCCCUUUACUCGGGGAUAGCCUUUCGAAAGAAAGAUUAAUACCCGAUAGCAUAAUGAUUCCGCAUGGUUUCAUUAUUAAAGGAUUCCGGUAAAGGAUGGGGAUGCGUUCCAUUAGGUUGUUGGUGAGGUAACGGCCCACCAAGCCUUCGAUGGAUAGGGGUUCUGAGAGGAAGGUCCCCCACAUUGGAACUGAGACACGGUCCAAACUCCUACGGGAGGCAGCAGUGAGGAAUAUUGGUCAAUGGGCGCUAGCCUGAACCAGCCAAGUAGCGUGAAGGAUGAAGGCUCUAUGGGUCGUAAACUUCUUUUAUAUAAGAAUAAAGUGCAGUAUGUAUACUGUUUUGUAUGUAUUAUAUGAAUAAGGAUCGGCUAACUCCGUGCCAGCAGCCGCGGUAAUACGGAGGAUCCGAGCGUUAUCCGGAUUUAUUGGGUUUAAAGGGAGCGUAGGUGGACUGGUAAGUCAGUUGUGAAAGUUUGCGGCUCAACCGUAAAAUUGCAGUUGAUACUGUCAGUCUUGAGUACAGUAGAGGUGGGCGGAAUUCGUGGUGUAGCGGUGAAAUGCUUAGAUAUCACGAAGAACUCCGAUUGCGAAGGCAGCUCACUGGACUGCAACUGACACUGAUGCUCGAAAGUGUGGGUAUCAAACAGGAUUAGAUACCCUGGUAGUCCACACAGUAAACGAUGAAUACUCGCUGUUUGCGAUAUACAGUAAGCGGCCAAGCGAAAGCAUUAAGUAUUCCACCUGGGGAGUACGCCGGCAACGGUGAAACUCAAAGGAAUUGACGGGGGCCCGCACAAGCGGAGGAACAUGUGGUUUAAUUCGAUGAUACGCGAGGAACCUUACCCGGGCUUAAAUUGCAGUGGAAUGAUGUGGAAACAUGUCAGUGAGCAAUCACCGCUGUGAAGGUGCUGCAUGGUUGUCGUCAGCUCGUGCCGUGAGGUGUCGGCUUAAGUGCCAUAACGAGCGCAACCCUUAUCUUUAGUUACUAACAGGUUAUGCUGAGGACUCUAGAGAGACUGCCGUCGUAAGAUGUGAGGAAGGUGGGGAUGACGUCAAAUCAGCACGGCCCUUACGUCCGGGGCUACACACGUGUUACAAUGGGGGGUACAGAAGGCAGCUAGCGGGUGACCGUAUGCUAAUCCCAAAAUCCUCUCUCAGUUCGGAUCGAAGUCUGCAACCCGACUUCGUGAAGCUGGAUUCGCUAGUAAUCGCGCAUCAGCCACGGCGCGGUGAAUACGUUCCCGGGCCUUGUACACACCGCCCGUCAAGCCAUGGGAGCCGGGGGUACCAGAAGUACGUAACCGCAAGGAUCGUCCUAGGGUAAA
rnacentral:rRNA from 1 species